CCCCGUGCGGGCAGUGUAUGAUCGGUGGCGUCGCGCAGUGUCGCCGCGUGACCACCACGAUGCCCCUGGCGCUUCCCUACCCUGGAGGUAAUCUUAAUCUUGGUCGCUGCCUUGCGCCGAUGAAGACUGGAGGCGACGCGAUCACCGGAGUCUUCGUGCCAGAUCCCGUGGCUUCUUUUUUGGUCGGCUAGGCGCACGGUGCCGGAACCCUUCCCAUUGCGGUGAGCAUGUAAGGUCGGUGGCGUUCCGCGUUGUCGCCGCAUUUCCAUCACCAUGCCUCGGUGCGUCCCCUCCCCGCUCCCCUGCCCCAGAGGAACCCUAGCAAUGUCCGUGGACUUCGGUUGCUGGGACAGAGGCGCGCAUGAAAUAGCGCUCGUUCUGCCGUCGCCGGGUACCAGUAUCUCCGUGGGCGAUGGGUUUCCGUUUCACUUUCACAUGUAAAGCUCGGUAUCCGGAAAGGUUGGUCUCGCCUGAACUUAAUUAGUCAUAAUGGGGUUCACAAUGAGGUUUUCACGUGGAAGUGCUUCUGAAUUUUUUAUGAAGUUCACUCUGAGUCAGUUUCUUUUGUGGAGCUUGUCAGUCUUAUAUUUCUAGUUUAUGAUAAAGUAUAUUAGCAAAUCUGCUAGUUAAAUCUUUCUCCUUUUCAUAAACUGUGCUUGCCAGAGUGUUCGGAGUGCAUCAACUUUGGAAAACAUUGACGAACAGAAGUGCAAAUUAAGCAUACUUUUUCGAAAUGAAACUGAGCAACAAAUAGUAUCAACAGAGAGAGAGAGAGAGAGAGUGAGAGCAAACAUGAUUAUGAGCAUCUUGUAGUAUUCACUGCGAGAUAGGACUUGUAUAGGUAUAUUUUGUGCAUCCUCAUGAUUCAAUUAUGCAUCCUAACAUCUAUUCUUGGUUGUUAUUUUUUAAUAUGCAUCCUAACAUCUAUUUAGAGACAGAAUCAUACUGGUUGAAUUGGCACUACGUGAAGGUUGUUGUAUUUAAUAAGCUGCCUAUGCCAGACUACAGAAUCCAAUCUGGAUGGAGAAUCUGGAAAAACUCAGUUUUGUUGCCAUAGUUAUAGUUAUCAUCCUGUUAUGAGGGAAGGAAGGAUGCAGAAAGAGAGCAUUAUGGAUAUAAAUACUGCUGGAAUAAGUUUAUUUUUCCACAGGAAGGCCGAUGGUUCUCUUUAGAGGCAAUUUCCUUUCCUUCUGAUUGUACUACUCUGAUUAAUGAAAGUUCUGGUACAUGCAGCAAGUGCACUCAAAAUGAAAAACCUGUCUUGGCUUGGCUUGCUCCUGGUGUUGUGAGUUUAACCCUUUUAUAUGUUUCUUUAUGAACCAUUCUUUUUUACAUAUUCCGUGUUCUAGUCUCUUCUGGUUAAGGAACUUGUAUUCACAUAUGUUCCAUCCAGAGUGCUAAAAAAAAGUAAAUGUUUUUGGAUCAAUAUUUUGCUCAUUUUACACAUUAUACGGAUCAUGCUUACAUGUUCAUACCUCGAAUUAAGUUUUAUUUGAUGUAUGAAUAUCUCCAUUUUAUGCGAUCCAUUUUGACUUUCUGCCGCUCUCUGAAACAGCUUGUAAAUCCUAGAAUGGACAUUCAGAGUCGGAGAGAGAGCUCCUGUUGGCAAUAUGCAAUCGCCUUUGCGUCUUAGGUUGCCAGUAGGUAAGGAUAAUCUCCAGAAUUAAUUGCAGACAUUGCCUGGAGCUGGGCACGAGAACUCCAUUCACAAGGUUAAACAGCUUAUGAAGAAACAAUUGACACUGCAGCUAAGAUCUGGAGUGGCUCAUGGACUGGUUCUCAUCUGGCUCUGCGGACAUUGGUCACAUGUACAUAUUGGUAAAAGAGCAAGUAGCAGCAUCAUAGAACUUAAUAGGCGCCAUGAUCGUUCGGCUACUGCUGAGAUUAGAAUGUUUCCUUGCCAGUUUCUCCCAGCAAUGGAGAAACUAUAGGGGUCAUAUAAAGUAAUAUUGCAUCUUUUUACAAGGCAUUCAAAAUUUGACACUGGCCUUUCUUUUCUAACAGUGACAAGUGUAUAGAUCCGGAAGACAGAAGCUAUCUCGGAGCAGGAAGACUCGAGAGAUGCAUAUGAAUGUAGCUUGACAGCUGAAUAUGACCGCAUCUGAUCC